GACGAACGCUGGCGGCGUGCUUAACACAUGCAAGUCGAACGAAAAUACCAAGCUUGCUUGGUUGAUUAGUGGCGAACGGGUGAGUAACACGUGAGUAACCUGCCCCUUACUUUCCUGGAUAACUGCUCGAAAGGGUAGCUAAUACGGGAUAUUCUGACCAGCCUGCAUGGGUUGGUUUGGAAAGGUUGUUUUUCUGGUAAGGGAUGGGCUCGCGGCCUAUCAGCUUGUUGGUGGGGUGAUGGCCUACCAAGGCUUUGACGGGUAGCCGGCCUGAGAGGGUGGACGGUCACACUGGGACUGCGAUACGGCCCAGACUCCUACGGGAGGCAGCAGUGGGGAAUAUUGCACAAUGGGCGCAAGCCUGAUGCAGCGACGCCGCGUGAGGGAGGAAGGCCUUCGGGUUGUAAACCUCUUUCGUCAGGGAACAAGGCACUGCUUUUUUGGUGGUGUUGAGGGUACCUGGAUAAGAAGCGCCGGCUAACUACGUG
rnacentral:rRNA from 1 species